rnacentral:rRNA from 1 species
GCAAGUCUGGUGCCAGCAGCCGCGGUAAUUCCAGCUCCAAUAGCGUAUAUUAAAGUUGUUGCAGUUAAAAAGCUCGUAGUUGAAUUUUAGGCCUGGUUGGACGGUCUGCUCUAGGGUUUGUACUGUCCUGACUGGGUCUUACCUUCUGGUGAGCUGUCGUAUUGUUUACUCAGUGCGGCGGGGAACCAGGACUUUUAC